UACAGAGGUCUCAAGCGUUGUUCGGAUUCAUUGGGCGUAAAGGGUGCGUAGGUGGCGGGGUAAGUCAGGUGUGAAAUCUCGGAGCUUAACUCCGAAACUGCAUUCGAUACUGCGGUGCUUGAGGACUGGAGAGGAGACUGGAAUUCAUGGUGUAGCAGUGAAAUGCGUAGAGAUCAUGAGGAAGACCAGUGGCGAAGGCGGGUCUCUGGACAGUUCCUGACGCUGAGGCACGAAGGUCAGGGGAGCAAACGGG
rnacentral:rRNA from 1 species